GUUACGUAGAAAUUGCAAUAACAAAAUAACAUAUCGUAUCUGUUAUAAUUCUAUGUUAGUGUUGUAGUUUUAAUGUAUGGUGGUGUGAUCAUUAUAUAUUCACGUUUGUAAGACCUUAGUGCUAGUAUCAACGGGUCAAAAUAAAA